rnacentral:rRNA from 1 species
AUGCCUAGCACAGGGCCUGCACCACCUGCCACGGUCAUGUCGAGCGUCGCGAACCUAGCUCAGCUCCUGCCGACUGGCACGGUGUUGGCGUACCAGGCGUUGUCGCCGUCCUUCACCAACCAUGGCAAGUGCGAGACCUCCAACCAGUGGCUCACAGGGGUGCUGGUUGUCGUCCUCGCCAUGUUGUGCCUCUUCUUCUCCUUCACCGACAGCGUUGUUGGUCGCCGCGAUGGAAAGCUAUACUAUGGCUUCGCCACACUGCACGGCUUCAACGUUUUCAACUUCUCCAGCGAGGAGGAGAGACAGGAGUGGAACGAUCUCGACCAGUUCCGCAGGCUCCGCCUCCGGCCGCUGGACUUCGUGCACGCCUUCUUCGCGGCGGUGGUUUUCCUCACGGUAGCUUUCAGCGACGUGGGGCUGCAGAAUUGUUUCUUUCAGGACGCCGACAGGAACACCGAGGAACUGCUCAAGAAUCUGCCCAUGGGCAUGGCGUUUCUCUCCAGUUUUGUGUUCAUCAUCUUCCCCACCAAAAGGAAGGGCAUUGGAUUCAGCGACACCGAAAGUCAUGCUCAAUCGGAUUUGACGACACCGCUCCUCGCUGGCGUAGAAGUUGCUUGA